GCCGAAAUGUUUUAUCACUCCGGACCAGAAGAGUAUUACCCAGGAAUCAGUGUGUUCAAGGGAAGGCCAAUAAAGCUUGAUGAACUGUCAUGUGAAAGUAUUAAUCAUGAUACGAAGGAUGAUUACACAUACAUUUUAUCUGAUAAGAGCGAGACCAUUAGCCGUGUCAAAAAAAGAUCAAAAAAGGACAUAAAAAAC